ensembl:lncRNA
CUGCCUGUCUGCAGCGGAGUGAUUCGGCGUCUGCCGCGGAGUGAUUGGGCCUCUGCCGCGGAGUGAUUCGGCCUCUGCCGCGGAGUGAUUCGGCCUCUGCCGCGGAGUGAUUCGGCCUCUGCCGCAUGACUCGGGACCUGCCGCAUGACUCGGGACCUCGGUAGGGCAUGCACAGACGUGCCUGUCUGCAGCGGGCUGAUUCUGCGUGUUCCGCGUGACUGGGGACCUCGGUAGGGCAUGGGCAGAUCUGCCUGUCUGCGGCAGAGGCAGGUUUAUUUGGGGAAUAAUUGAUGUGCACAAUCUGAUGAGUUUGGACAUACAUACACCAACGAUACCAUCACCACAAUCAAGUGGUGGACGAGGACAGAAGUCAGUGUGGGAACCACAGACAUCCCUUCGUGAAUGCUGAGGGACUUGCUUUCCUGAAUUUCCACCAGACAGCCUAGAUUAUGAGAAGCUGUGCUCUCAUGGAAGACCUCUGCUUCUGUCUCAAAGGUGGCUCCCGAAUGGCCUGAAAGUACCAGGAAGAGUGCAUCUCAGCUCUCUAGGCCCUGGACUGAGGGAUGUGGGAAGUUAGAAAAACAAUCAACAGGACCAGUGCCUGCUCUAGAGGACAUAGUGAUCUUAUGGGCUUUAUGCUACAGAGAGGACUUCCUGGUUACCUUCUGGUGGACCCACCUCUGUACACUGUGUGUGUUGUGGCUGAUGAAACCUUCGCUGGGCCCUUGGCCUUGGCUGGACCCCCUCCUAGCAGAUUAUAUUUCUCAGCUUCCCACUCCCUCCCAGGAGCAGCCCAGGAC